CAUGGGUGAAGCUUGAAAACAUAAGGAGAGGUUUCCAGCAGAGGGAACAGCAAGUGCCAAGGCCUGGAGGCAUGAGGAGGCAGGCCUGUCCGCGGCAUAGCAGGCGCCCGUGUGACUAAGGUGGCUCCUCCGUUUCUAGAAGCAGCAAUGGUGACGUACUAGACUAGAAGACUGGAGACCAACUCCUAGCUCUAGGGCCGCGGCCCGAACAAAUUCCCGGCAUGAAGUCACUGGGAGCCAGCACAGCUGCUGAAGUACACUUCCACGGGCUGUCGCUGACUGUGUCUAUCCCGCACCAGAAUGCGAGCCCCGUGCGGGAGGGAUUUCCGACAGUUUUACUCACCGAUGGCCCCGGCAUCUCAAACAGUGCCUGGCACCAGCUAAAUGCUGAGAAGUACGUUUGGACAAAUGCAUCCGUAUCGUUUCAUGAAGAGGCAAGUUCGGUUACCAGCAGUUUGGUCUGAGGAUGUUUCCACGACUGUUCUGUGAAACGUGGUCAGAGAUGAGGAGGAUCCACCAGAGCCCACAGUUGGGAAUGGGAUCCAGUUGUUUUACUGACACAAAUAUGCAGAUCUUCCAAAGUGACAAUGAGCUAAUCUGCUAACCUGAAUGGCAAAGAGCUGACAAUGCGCCCCAUGAGGGCUGGCCUGGCCACCUCCCUACCUCCAGCAGAUCCUCCUCCUCCUGCCCUGCAUGGGAAAUCUUUCCAAGCGGCUUUCCUUCCAGACACAAGGUUUCCUUCCUCGAGGGUUCCCGGUCAAGAGAAAAGGCAGUACAACCCUCUGAUGUCGCACCAGCGGGAUCCCACUGGGGCAGGUGACAUGCAGGCCAUUCACAUGCCCCACAAAUCUGACUGUUCUUCUCAGCCAGCUGUUAACCAUUUACCAGCAGCCCACUGGCCCUUAGACCAUGCUGCGAAGGUGCCCCCUACCCUCCUCCCCCAUCCCGGGCUGCAGAGCCAAACUGCAAAGGCCAGGCUUCACAACACAACUUAUGUGCACUGACCAGACGGAACCCUGGACAAACACCUUGCAUGUUUUGAUCAUCGCGGAAUGAGAAAACAAAACUAAGGAUCAUAAAUAACGUUAAGCUCACAUUCACCUUGCACACAUCAUGUCGUGUCUCCUCCACACCCCAUCACCUGUGAGGAAGGGGCGGGGGCUGGUGGGGCUGCACAGAACCGGCCCAGGCAGGCCCGAGGCCAGGCUGCCUGCUCCCACGGUGCUCUUCCCAACAGCGUCUGCUCCUGAAU